AACGAACGCUGGCGGCAGGCCUAACACAUGCAAGUCGAACGCCGUAGCAAUACGGAGUGGCAGACGGGUGAGUAACGCGUGGGAACAUACCCUUCGGUUCGGAACAACUCAGGGAAACUUGAGCUAAUACCGGAUACGUGCGAGAGCAGAAAGAUUCAUCGCCGAAGGAUUGGCCCGCGUUCGAUUAGCUAGUUGGUGAGGUAACGGCUCACCAAGGCGACGAUCGAUAGCUGGUCUGAGAGGAUGAUCAGCCACAUUGGGACUGAGACACGGCCCAAACUCCUACGGGAGGCAGCAGUGGGGAAUAUUGGACAAUGGGCGAAAGCCUGAUCCAGCCAUGCCGCGUGAGUGAUGAAGGCCCUAGGGUUGUAAAGCUCUUUCGUCAGGGACGAUAAUGACGGUACCUGAAGAAGAAGCCCCGGCUAACUUCGUGCCAGCCG
rnacentral:rRNA from 1 species